rnacentral:rRNA from 1 species
UACGAAGGGGCUAGCGUUGCUCGGAAUCACUGGGCGUAAAGGGCGCGUAGGCGGUGCGGUAAGUCACCUGUGAAAUCUCCUGGCUUAACUGGGAGCUUGCAGGCGAAACUGCCGUGCUGGAGUGUGGGAGAGGUGCGUGGAAUUCCGGUGUAGCGGUGAAAUGCGUAGAUAUCGGGAGGAACACCUGUGGCGAAAGCGGCGCACUGGACCGACAACUGACGC